rnacentral:rRNA from 1 species
GGGAGGCAGCAGUGGGGAAUCUUGCGCAAUGGUCGAAAGACUGACGCAGCGACGCCGCGUGUGGGAGGACGCCUUUCGGGGUGUAAACCACUGUUGCCCGGGACGAACUGCUCGAUUCGUCGAGCUUGACGGUACCGGGUGAGGAAGCACCGGCUAACUCCGUGCCAGCAGCCGCGGUAAUACGGAGGGUGCGAGCGUUGUCCGGAAUCAUUGGGCGUAAAGGGCGCGUAGGUGGCCCGGUCAGUUCGUGGUGAAAGCGCGGGGCUCAACCCUGCGUCGGCCAUGAAUACUGCCGCGGCUGGAGCACUGUAGAGGCAGGCGGAAUUCCGGGUGUAGCGGUGGAAUGCGUAGAGAUCCGGAAGAACACCGGUGGCGAAGGCGGCCUGCUGGGCAGUUGCUGACACUGAGGCGCGACAGCGUGGGGAGCAAACAGGAUUAGAUACCCCGGU